GACGAACGCUGGCGGCGUGCUUAACACAUGCAAGUCGUACGGUAAGGCCCUUUCGGGGGUACACGAGUGGCGAACGGGUGCGUAACACGUGCGUAACCUGCCCACAACUUUGGGAUAACGCUAGGAAACUGGUGCUAAUACUGGAUAUGUGCUCCUGCUGCAUGGUGGGGGUUGGAAAGCUCCGGCGGUUGUGGAUGGACUCGCGGCCUAUCAGCUUGUUGGUGGGGUAGUGGCCUACCAAGGCGGCGACGGGUAGCCGGCCUGAGAGGGUGACCGGCCACAUUGGGACUUAGAGACGGCCCAGACUCCUACGGGAGGCAGCAGUGGGGAAUAUUGCACAAUGGGCGCAAGCCUGAUGCAGCAACGCCGCGGGCGGGAUGACGGCCUUCGGGUUGUAAACCGCUUGCAGCAGGGACGAAGCUUUUUGUGACGGUACCUGCAGAAGAAGCACCGGCUAACUACGUG
rnacentral:rRNA from 1 species